rnacentral:rRNA from 1 species
AGAGUUUGAUCCUGGCUCAGAAUGAACGUUGGCGGCGUGGAUUAGGCAUGCAAGUCGAACGGGUUCGGUCUUCGGAUCGGAUCAGUGGCGCAAGGGUGAGUAAGGCGACGGUAACCAGCCCCAUGGUUGGGUAUAGCCGCGGGAAACUGCGGGUAAUCCCCAGCGACGUCCGAAUCGGGCAUCCGAUGCGGACCAAAGUUCCAACGCCGUGGGACGGGCCGUCGUGGUAUUAGGUCGUUGGCGGGGUAACGGCCCACCAAGCCUAUGAUGCCUACCGGGCGUGCGAGCGCGACCCGGCCCACUGGGACUGAGACACUGCCCAGACUCCUACGGGAGGCUCCAGUCGAGAAUCUUCGGCAAUGGGCGCAAGCCUGACCGAGCGACGCCGCGUGGAGGAUGAAGGCCUUCGGGUUGUAAA